UUUUUUUUUUAGUCUUUGGGGUAAAUUCGGACAGAGGAAUAAUCCGAAACAAGUUACAGUAAUAAAAGAUGAAUCCGAAUUCUUCAAGACCUUUUCUAAUCCAGCCAUUGAAAUUAAAGAUACUACAUUUGCCACAGAUGAGGUUGUGUACAUUCAUUGGGAGUAUCUGGAGGAAUCAACAAUUGAUACACCAUUUAUAAAUCCAGUGAUUAGUGCACAUGUCACAGCUGAAGCACGAUUAGUUUUAUACAGCUACCUUGAAAUUCUACAAGACAGAGUCCUAUACUGUGACACGGAUUCGAUAAUUUUUGUGGAACGGCCUGGAGAUAAAACAAUUGAAACAGGACCAUACCUUGGACAGAUGGGAGAUGAACUGGAAAAGGAAGGGGAGGAUGCCUACAUCACUGAAUUCAUUUCUGGAGGUCCGAAAAACUAUGCAUAUUGCAUCAAAACUGGCGAUGGUUCACUUAAACAUGUCGUGAAGAUAAGAGGGUUCACUCUAAAUUGCAAUACUUUGAAAAGCUUAAAUUAUGAGGCAAUGAAAAAUUUUAUUCUGGCUCAACCUAUUGAUCAUAUUAAUAAGGAUCAUAAAAUAAAAAUAAGGGAAGAAAAUAAAAUCAUGAGGAAGAGACCUUUUCAAGUGGUUACCCAGCCUAUGCCUAAAGAAUAUAAAGAAGUUGUCCCAAAAAGAAGACGUACAGAAUCUUACAGAAGUUUACCUUAUGGAUAUGCAGCUUGAAUGAAUUUGCUUAUGUAACUUGCCUGGAUACACUACCAACAGAGAUUAUUAUGAAAAUUUUUGACCAUUCCCGCGAAAAAGAUAUUUACAAGAGGUUGGCUUAUGUCAACAAGAGGUUUCAAAAAAUUGCUAUCGAGAAGAUUUUCCAAAUCCGCCAUCCACCAAACCAACCCCAGUGGAAACACCGUCAAUAUCUGAACCACUACGCCUACUGGGAACGAAAUAUACACAGGAUGAAGGUAAUGCUGGACACAGAGCGCAUGGCGUGCGUGUGUAAGACUGAGCCAGGUAGACGAAAAGAAAAACGUUAUCUACGUAAAUUCCACAUCGAAACCCAGUGGCACUCACCUUGGUUUUAACUAAUGAAAA